CUAAGAAUAUUCCGCAAUGGACGGAAGUCUGACGGAGCGACGCCGCGUGGAUGACGAAGGCCGAAAGGUUGUAAAGUUCUUUUGCUGGGGAAGAAUAACCGCAGGAGGGAAUGCCUGUGGGAUGACAAGAACCGGCGAAUAAGCCCCGGCCAACUACGUGCCAGCAGCCGCGGUAACACGUAGGGGGCGAGCGUUGUUCGGAAUUACUGGGCGUAAAGGGCUGUAGGCGGCUUGGAAAGCCUGGCGUGAAAGUCUGCAGCUUAACUGCAGGGGUGCGCUGGGAACUGCUGAGCUUGAGUGACGGAGAGGGAGCUGGAAUUCCUGGUGUAGGGGUGAAAUCUGUAGAUAUCAGGAAGAACACCGAUGGCGAAGGCAAGCUCCUGGCCGAUGACUGACGCUGAGGUGCGAAAGUGUGGGGAUCAAACAGGAUUAGAUACCCUGGUAGUCCACACAGUCAACGAUGUGCACUAGGUGCUGGGGCGGUAGCUUCGGUGCCGGAGCGAACGUGGUAAGUGCACCGCCUGGGGAGUAUGCUCGCAAGGGUG
rnacentral:rRNA from 1 species